CCUACGGGUGGCAGCAGUAGGGAAUCUUUCACAAUGGGCGAAAGCCUGAUGGAGCAACGCCGCGUGCAGGAUGAAGGCCUUCGGGUUGUAAACUGCUUUUAUCAGCGAGAAAUAUGAUGGUAACUUAGGAAUAAGCCUCGGCUAACUACGUGCCAGCAGCCGCGGUAAUACGUAGGAGGCAAGCGUUAUCCGGAAUGACUGGGCGUAAAGGGUGCGUAGGUGGUUUGACAAGUUGGUAGCGUAACUCCGGAGCUCAACUUCGGAACUACUACCAAAACUGUUGGACUCGAGUGCAGGAGGGGCAACUGGAAUUUCUAGUGUAGCGGUGGAAUGCGUAGAUAUUAGGAAGAACACCGGUGGCGAAGGCGAGUUGCUGGACUGUAACUGACACUGAGGCACGAAAGCGUGGGGAGCAAACAGGAUUAGAUACCCUAGUAGUC
rnacentral:rRNA from 1 species